rnacentral:rRNA from 1 species
UGCAGUCGAACGGGAGUUUAUUUAUAGCAAUAUGAGUGAACUCUAGUGGCGAAAGGGUGCGUAACACGUAGCUACCUACCUCGAAGUUGGGGAUAGCUCGGCGAAAGCCGGAUUAAUACCGAAUGUGAUCGUGAGAUCAAAGCUGGGGAUCGUAAGACCUGGCGCUUUGAGAUGGGGCUGCGGCCUAUCAGCUAGUUGGCGGGGUAACGGCCCACCAAGGCUUAGACGGGUAGCUGGUCUGAGAGGACGACCAGCCACACUGGAACUGAGACACGGUCCAGACACCUACGGGUGGCAGCAGUCGAGGAUUUUUCUCAAUGGGGGAAACCCUGAAGGAGCGACGCCGCGUGAGGGAUGAAGGUCUUCGGAUUGUAAACCUCUGUCAUCUGGGAACAAAGUGCUCCACCUAACACGUGGAGUAUUGAUAGUACCGGAAGAGGAAGCAGUGGCUAACUCUGUGCCAGCAGCCGCGGUAAUACAGAGACUGCAAGCGUUGUUCGGAUUCAUUGGGCGUAAAGGGUGCGCAGGCGGUGUGUUAAGUCGGAUGUGAAAUCUCACAGCCUAACUGUGAUAGGUCAUUCGAAACUGGCAUGCUAGAGGACUGGAGAGGAGACUGGAAUGGUCGGUGUAGCGGUGAAAUGCGUAGAGAUCGACCAGAACACCGGUGGCGAAUGCGGGUCUCUGGACAGUUCCUGACGCUCAAGCACGAAAGCCAGGGGAGCAAACGGGAUUAGAUACCCCGGUAGUCCUGGCCCUAAACGGUGUUCACUUGGUGUGCGGGAGUCGACCCCCUGCNUGCCGCA